AUGAUGAGCCCUCUUCCACUUUUGUUUAGUGUUAAUAAGCUGCGGCAGCAGGUUUUGUUGAAUUGUAACAUUUAUUCAUUUUUAUUCACGUACUAUUUUUUAUUUAAUUUUUUCGAAUGGAUGUCUGCUCUCCCUCCACUCUUGAAUAAUACAGUAGGCCUUAUGUGUCACAAAGACAAUCAAUGCUGUAGCUGUUAUGUGGUUAGAAAGAGCUCCCUCACUCUGAACCAUUCUGUAUGUAUAGGACUGCAUCUCUGGGCUGAUUCCAAACCAACCCCAUGCUGCUAUCCCCAUUACCUUGUUGACUUUUGUUACGUAUCUGAAAUGGUUUGUAUUGUCAAUAUUGUAAAGUAGGUUGUUUCCUUCCAAUGUAUUCCUUUACAUCGACAGUCUUAUCAGAUGCUUUAAGUUGUCAACAUUGGCCUAUAGUUGGGUGCAAUGGCUUGAUUUGGAAAUCAGCUUUUAAUCAGAGGGACCAAGUAAAGGACUAAUGUUAAAGUGGUGGGUGGGAGAUUUAGUAAGUGAGUAUGGUGGAAUUUUUGUUACUUUGUUUUCUUGACUUUUCAUUAAACAAUUAAGAUUCCCUUACAAUGUUUACACUAUUUUACUGGGUCCCUGUUUCUCUUUAGAUAAUGCAAGAGAACAUGAAAAAUACAAGCAAUCCAAUACUUGAUCAGCCUAUAAUCCAACCUAGGCUAGAUAUUGGUGGGGAAACGAACAACCGAUCACAAACAUAAGACGCAGGACAAGUGUGGCCGUAUUCUUAUAUAUAAUAUACAUACGCUAAGUGUACAAAACAGUAGGAACACCUUCCUAAUAUUGAGUUGCACCCCCUUUUUACCUCAGAACCACCUCAAUUCUACAAGGUGUCGGAAGUGUUCUACAGGGAUCCUGGCCCAUGUUGACUCCAACAUUCGUGUCAAGUUGGCUGGAUGUCCUUUGGGUGGUGGACAGUUCUUGAUACACAUGGGAAACUGAGUGUGAAAACCCCAUCAGCGUUGCAGUUCUUGACGCACUCAAACCAGUGCACCUGGCAUCUAAUACAAUACCCCAUUCAAAGAUACUUAACUUUUGUCUUGCCCAUUCACCCUCUGAAUGGCACAUACAAUUCAUGGCUUAAAAAGCCUUCUUUAACCUGUCUUCUCCCCUUCAUCUACACCGAUUGAAGUGGAUUUAACAAGUGACAUCAAUAAGGGAUCAUAGCUUUCACCUGGAUUCACCUGCCAAUCUAUGUCAUGGAAAGAGCAGGUGUUCCUAAUGUUUUGUGCACUGUGUAUGUAACUGCUUUGCUUGAAAUAACAUAGUAAAACUUUUUAACUUUUCCGUUACCACAAAAAUACUUUUAAAGAAUUAAAGCAAGCCCCGCAUCUUUACUUGUAAGGUCACCCUCUAGUUUGAUCUUGAUGCCAUGUCUUAUUUUGAGGUGCUUUGACUGUCACGUGACGUCUAUGCUAAUAUUGUUCAAAUUCGCUAACUAGCUAGCCAACAACUGUAACGAUGUGUUUGAGACAAGUGCUCAUUGUGCAAAUUUAUGUUUUCAAUAAACAUUGGAGACGAAAUAUACUUACAUGUCAACAAUCCAAGCCAACCCCGUAUGUUUUAUUGCUAACGAGCCAACCUGUCUAUUGGAGAAGCCGUUUGUGCCCAGAGCCAUAUACACUGAACAGAAAUAUAAACACAAAACGUAAAGUGUUGGUCCCAUGUUUCAAAAGCUGAAAUAAAAGAUCCCAGAAAUGUUAUAAACUCACAACAUUUUUAUUUCUCUAAAAUGUUGUGCAUAAAUUUGUUUACAUCCCUGUUAGUGACCAUUUCUCCUUUGCCAAGAUAAUCCAUCCACAUGACAGGUGUGGAAU
ensembl:lncRNA